rnacentral:rRNA from 1 species
CCUACGUGUGGCAGCAGUGAGGAAUAUUGGUCAAUGGACGGAAGUCUGAACCAGCCAUGCCACGUGCAGGAAGACGGCUCUAUGAGUUGUAAACUGCUUUUGUACAAGGGUAAACCUGAAUACGUGUAUUCAGAUGAAAGUACUGUACGAAUAAGGAUCGGCUAACUCCGUGCCAGCAGCCGCGGUAAUACGGAGGAGCCAAGCGUUAACCGGAUUUAUUGUGUUUAACAGGUGCGUAGGCGGAUUGUUAAGUUAGAGGUGAAAUGUCCGGGCUUAACUCGGGAACUGCCUCUAAUACUGUUGAUGUAGAGAGUAGAUGCGGUAGGCGGAAUGUAUGGUGUAGCGGUGAAAUGCUUAGAGAUCAUACAGAACACCGAUUGCGAAGGCAGCUUACCAAUCUAUAUCUGACGUUGAGGCACGAAAGCGUGGGGAGCAAACAGGAUUAGAUACCCUGGUAGUC